rnacentral:rRNA from 1 species
GACGAACGCUGGCGGCGUGCUUAACACAUGCAAGUCGUACGGUAAGGCCCUUUCGGGGGUACACGAGUGGCGAACGGGUGAGUAACACGUGAGUAACCUGCCCACAACUUUGGGAUAACGCUAGGAAACUGGUGCUAAUACUGGAUAUGUGCUCCUGCUGCAUGGUGGGGGUUGGAAAGCUCCGGCGGUUGUGGAUGGACUCGCGGCCUAUCAGCUUGUUGGUGGGGUAGUGGCCUACCAAGGCGGCGACGGGUAGCCGGCCUGAGAGGGUGACCGGCCACAUUGGGACUGAGAUACGGCCCAGACUCCUACGGGAGGCAGCAGUGGGGAAUAUUGCACAAUGGGCGCAAGCCUGAUGCAGCAACGCCGCGUGCGGGAUGACGGCCUUCGGGUUGUAAACCGCUUUCGCCUGUGACGAAGCGUGAGUGACGGUAAUGGGUAAAGAAGCACCGGCUAACUACGUG